rnacentral:lncRNA from 1 species
UUGGUUUGUAUCAAUCUACUUCUUGUCUUUGGUUUCUUGCAGUAAUUGUCUUUUUUGUCUUUAUUGUCAUCACUGUAAAGUCUAGUAUGCCGCAAUUGUUCUGGAAGGUGUUCAGUCAUUGGUUCUUUAUGAUUUAUGGUUAAGCCUUUUGCAGCCUUUAGUUUCAGUCUUUUGGCAUUAUUUGGCAGUGCUUUAUUUCAAUAUUUGAUUUCACAGCCUGUAUACUUCUUUGCAUUGAAAGUCUGGAUUUUUUAUUUUCAAGUUUAAUUUAAGGUGAAUUUGUCUAUCUAGACAGGAGUGCAAAUUGUUGACAUUUGCUUGGCUACUAGACCUCACAAUGGUGGCCUAAUUAGCUUAGAAGAUCUCUGUAGACUUCUUGGUCAAAGGAGGAAGGGUGCUCGUGAAGCUAUUUCUGAGGAUGAUUGCUUGCGUGCGAUAAGUAAGCUAAAGGUAUCGUGGUUACGAUUUUCUCUAUUUUUCUCUUGCUACUGUGGGCCUUAAAAAGUUAUACUAGGCACAUGCAUUCGCUAUUGCACGCCUCCAGUCCAUUUAUGGAACCUUGUUUACUGAGUGCGUUCUAUUUUACAAGGAUCCACAAUUGUUCUGAAUUUUAAGAAGUGAUAAUGGUGUAGUUGACAUAAUAAGUAUGCUUCCAUUUCAUGUUGUACAAUUAUAUGAGCACUGUGCCACAAACAAGAAAUCUAUUGAUUGACUGCAGCAGGCUAGUUAUAUGUUGUCGUUGGCUCAAAUUUCUUAUUUGUAAUCGUCAAGCUGUAAAGUACAAUUUUGAGGAAUAAUAAGCUAUCUCUCACUCGAGUUCUUGUCUAUCUCUCUCAUGUUUGUGGUUUCCCUGAUUUUAUACUUAGCUUCCAAGCUGCCUUGUUGGAGCUUAAGGUCUUCUAAAAGCUAGUAAUUUAUUUAUGCUUAACAUUGGGCAUCACUUUCCACUAACUAAGCUUCUGCAUCACUUAGUUGACUGAUUUACGUAGUAUGUUUUGAGACAGCCAAGUGUUGCAUGAGUACUUGUAAGAGUUCCGUAUGAGACAAUCAAUCCAGGUGUUCGGUUGGAUAAGGGGAUGUUAAGGACUGCACCUGAAUUGGAAAGAACCAAUCCAUUGAUCAUCUGAUGUUCACAUUGAUUUGGAAUUACUCUGAACCACUUCUUAUGCUUCACUGUUAGCCGAGAGUAAAGUAGGACUUCUCUUUCAACUGUUGCCCUAAGUUGCGAACUGAUGUCUUGACAGAACAGCUUUCGACUUUUCGCUCUCAGCUGGAAGAUUUUGCUCGCAAACACAAGGUCCCUUUUUUAGUUAGAUUCAAGUUCUCAUUUAGUUUUGUUAAGUAUCCACUUAAUUAUUUAAUUCCCCACUUUUACAUUGGUCAUGGAUUAAUAAUUUCCUGCUAAUUCAUAUUGAUACGAAAACAUUUACUUAAUUAAGGACAAAAGGACUUAAGGGUUGCUUAACUGCUGGAGUAUUCGAAUUAUGCUCAUUGAUGGGUAGAAGAUUGUGAAAAAGAAGAUAGAAAAUAAUUUACUUGUCAUGGUAUAUGCAGAAUGAUAUACGCAAGAAUCCUGCAUUCAGGGCACAGUUCCAUGAGAUGUGUGCAAAAGUAGGUGUGGACCCGCUGGCCUCGAAUAAAGGUUUUUGGGCUGAGCUACUGGGGAUUGGUGACUUCUAUUAUGAACUUGGUUUGUAUCAAUCUACUUCUUGUCUUUGGUUUCUUGCAGUAAUUGUCUUUUUUGUCUUUAUUGUCAUCACUGUAAAGUCUAGUAUGCCGCAAUUGUUCUGGAAGGUGUUCAGUCAUUGGUUCUUUAUGAUUUAUGGUUAAGCCUUUUGCAGCCUUUAGUUUCAGUCUUUUGGCAUUAUUUGGCAGUGCUUUAUUUCAAUAUUUGAUUUCACAGCCUGUAUACUUCUUUGCAUUGAAAGUCUGGAUUUUUUAUUUUCAAGUUUAAUUUAAGGUGAAUUUGUCUAUCUAGACAGGAGUGCAAAUUGUUGACAUUUGCUUGGCUACUAGACCUCACAAUGGUGGCCUAAUUAGCUUAGAAGAUCUCUGUAGACUUCUUGGUCAAAGGAGGAAGGGUGCUCGUGAAGCUAUUUCUGAGGAUGAUUGCUUGCG